UCCAGGGGUUACCAAGGUGACG
rnacentral:miRNA from 1 species